AGCAGCCGCGGUAAUUCCAGCUCCAAUAGCGUAUAUUAAAGUUGUUGCAGUUAAAAGCUCGUAGUUGAAUUUCGGGAUCGACAGGUUGGUCGCGCCUUCGGUGUGUACUGGUCUAGUCGGUUUCUCCCUUCUGACGAACCACGAUGUCAUUAAUUUGGUGUCGUGGGAAAUCAGGACUGUUACUU
rnacentral:misc_RNA from 1 species